UCUAGUCGCCGAGAGUAAAUUUCCAUCCUUCUCAUGCACAAAACUAUCUUCGGAUUCUAACAAGCCUUAAGUAUAUAGUUAAGCCUCUAUUGUUGCUGCUUCAUAUGGAUACUAAGGAAUAAACCUACACUUGGUUCUAAAAACAUAACUUCUCACAUCAGAGAAAGACAAAUGAGCCACCUACAAAGAAAAAAGAAGGGAUUGAAAGGGUUUUGGAAGACAAAAUAAAAAGAAAAAAAAGGAAGCACUUUGGAAGCAAGACAAGGAUGAGGGAGCCAAUUUGCAAAGAUUGGCUUGAAACAAGAUAAAAGAUGUUAUCCUUGGUACGGGUGAUCGAGGUAGCUGUAAGGUAGGGUCAGGUCAAUGAAGAUAGACCUAGGCCAGGGCUAGUUACCUAUGGUUUUUGUUACAUACAUAUGAUAUUGUUGAUUUUUGGCCCUAUUCAAAUAGUUGUAUAAUUGUAUCUAGGGACAUGUAUAUGAUUACUCCAUGAUCUUAGAUGUUUCAGAUGAGU